AUCGAAAUAACUCGGGUGGGAGGGCAUUAGACCAUAGAUCGAAAGGUCCUUGGUUCGAUCCUGGGUUCCGGCA
rnacentral:tRNA from 1 species